GAGGGUUUGGUGUGACAGGGUCUCUGGCCUUAGUCAGGGUCUGUGCAUUGCCCAGAAAAAUGGAGCCCCGACCUCGGAUGGGAUUUGCAGCAGGACUUUAACAAGUAUAAAAUAUUAUCUAGCUGAAAGGCACCUUUGCCUCCUGCAGUAACCCAUCCCUGCCCCAAGCACAGAAAGAAGGGAGGAAGCAAGAAGCAGCCCCAGUGAGCUCAGACAUAUUAGUGACCCCUCUCCCUUUCCACUUCUCUCUCUAGACGGCUCUGGGUGCAAAUUCUGCCCUGCGACCUGGCUGCUGCACAGAGACAAGUGCUAUUGGGUCUCCGGAAAAAUGAAACCGUGGAACGAGAGCCGUGACGACUGUUCAGCGAAGCACUCUCAGCUGCUGGUGAUCCGGGACAGGGAGGAGAUGGAGUUCAUAAAGAAUAGUACACAAGGUUCAACUUUUGCGUGGAUUGGACUUUCUCUCUCGUCCCGGGGGAAGACCUGGAUCUGGCUGAACAGCUCCCAGUUAAAUCAGACUCUGUGAGUGUUUACUUUUGCAAAACACUUUCCUUUCCCUCUUUGGGCAGAAGUCGCUGGCGACAGUGAUGGGGGGUAAGAGGAGGGACACAAUUCUUUGAGCUGGUUCUUUGACCUGCUGACACCCCCGCCAUCUAUUCUGUCAUCAAUUCAUCCAUCUAAUCUAUCAUCCACUUUAGACCACCUGAAAAACCUGGUCUGUAUCAACGAUUUCUUGAAAUGCUCGUAAACUCGCAUGGCAGGGAGCUAAACUGGCUAUUUAAAAUGGUGAAUUUCUCGGCUGUAAACUUUUUUGGAGUAAGUGAUGGUUGGAGAUCUGUUUAUACAACCUAUGGAUUUUCUGUGUGAUUAUGAAAUCACUGUGCAUAGCUUUAUCAAGCUGCAAACUCCUUUUUCUCUUCUCUAUGUUCUCUAUUGCUUCCAUGCUUAGAUUCCAAAGGCUGAUGACAAAAGAAUACCGAAAGAGAGUUGUUGACAUUAGCUACUCUCCCAUUGAAAUGGAAAGGCUCUAAAGGAUAGAUUAGCUCCCAACAAAGGGCAGCUGGUUUGUCAGGGGAGAUGUCACCUUGGCCAGGGGUCUGUGAUCACCUGAGGAGGCUGAGCAGGGAGUCACCUGACAGGAGAAUGGAAAAUUAUAAAAAGGGAGGGAAUUCAUACGCGCUGACUUUUGGUUUUGCCAGUGGGUGCUCUCCUGAGGCCCCGCCCCCCCCCUGAGGCCCUGCCCCCUCCCGAGGCCCCACCCCCCGAUCCACCCCUCCCUUGCCCAUCCCGGUCCACUUGCCCAGCGGGCACUGGUACUCUCAGUCUCUCUGUGCUGCGAGGGAUGUUUUUGGAGAC
rnacentral:lncRNA from 1 species